rnacentral:rRNA from 1 species
GCCGAUUAGGUAGUUGCCGGGGUAAUGUCCCGACAAGCCGAUGAUCGGUACGGGUUGUGAGAGCAAGAGCCCGGAGAUGGAUUCUGAGACAUGAAUCCAGGGCCUACGGGGCGCAGCAGGCGCGAAAACUUUACACUGCACGAAAGUGCGAUAAGGGAACUUCGAGUGUCAAUGCACUGCAUUGACUGUCCAGAUGCCUAAAAAGCAUCUGCUAGCAAGAGCCGGGCAAGACCGGUGCCAGCCGCCGCGGUAACACCGGCGGCUCAAGUGGUGGCCGCUUUUAUUGGGUCUAAAGGGUCCGUAGCCGGCUUAGCAAGUCCUUUGGGAAAUCUAGCAGCUCAACUGUCGGGCUUCUGAAGGAAACUGCUAGGCUUGGGACCGGGAGAGGUUAGAGGUACUUCAGGGGUAGGAGUGAAAUCCUGUAAUCCCUGAGGGACCGCCGGUGGCGAAGGCGUCUAACCAGAACGGGUCCGACGGUGAGGGACGAAAGCUAGGGGCACGAACCGGAUUAGAUACCCGGGUAGUCCUAGCCGUAAACGAUGUGAGCUAGGUGUCAGCUACGGUAUGUCCGUACCUGGUGCCUUAGGGAAGCCGU